UCCCUUCGGGACAUCCGAUAAAAUUGGAACGAUACAGAGAAGAUUAGCAAGGAUGACACGCACAAAUCGAGAAAUGGUCCAAAUUUUUUU
rnacentral:snRNA from 1 species